AUGGUUUCUCUGCCAGAUCAGGGAGCUUUCUCAGUGGAUACAUGCUUGUUGACAGUGCAGGAGGUUUUUGUACGGCCACUUAAUGAGUUUGUAUCACUGUGGUACACUUUUGGUCGAGGAACCAAACUCAACGUUGACUUGGGUGUGCAGCAGCCCACCCUGAGCGUCCUCCCCCCCUCCAGAGAGGAGCUGCAGCAGGGCAGUGCCACCGUGGUGUGUCUGGCCAGCGGGGGCUUCCCCUCCGCCUGGAGGCUGGGCUGGAAGCUGGGGGGCAGCAGCAGCUCCUCAGGGGGGUCCCACAGCCCGGAGGUCCUGGGGAGCGACGGCCGCUACAGCUGGAGCAGCACCCUGAGCCUCUCUGCAGAGAGCUGGAGGGGGGCGGGCUCAGUGAGCUGUGAGGCCAGUCUGAGUGGACAGAGCCCUGUCACUCAAAGCCUGGACCCUGCCCGCUGCUCGGAGUAGAGCAUCACUUCCUGUCUGGAGAGGAAGCAGCUUCUUUGGUAGAGAUCUUCAUGAAGACACACAUCUCCUCUGCUCACAUGUUGCUGCUGUCUCUGUUCAGUUGUUAGUGCUGCUCUCUAAUCCUCACUUCCUGCAUAUUCUCCUGUUUGUUCAUCAGCUCACAAUUCAACUGGAUUUCAUUUGUUUCACUCCAACAGAAACUCAUCAUUCAUCUCAAAUGUGGCGUGAGCUUUAAACCAUCAUUAAAUAAAAAUGCUGAUUAAAAUGAGA